ACGAGCCGCCCGAGGUACUGACCCUGCUGAUGGAGAACAGCAGCCCUGGCCGGUCGGAGCACACGCCCGUGAAACAGAAGCGCAGCUUCCAGUAGAAGAGGUGUUCCCAGAUGAAGAUCCCCGUGAGCCACAGUGUCUCCAGCUCCUCCAUCUCGCCUGGACAGAGGACAAGAGCCACAGGCAGUGAGGAGCACGGCAUGCACUCUGGUUCUGGACACACGCGGGUGACCCACAGCUGGACAUGCAACCUGCAGGCAAGUUCCUGAGCGCACCAUGUCUGCAUGCACUCACUCGAUGGGCGAAGCUAAUAACGGUAACAAUACCUACCUGGUCUCGUGAGGAGGACGAAGUGAGAUAAUGGA